AAUGAUUGGGCGUAAAGGGUCCGCAGGUGGCCCGGUCAGUCCGCUGUCAAAGCCUGGGGCUCAACCCUGGAGAGGCGGCGGAGACCACCGGGCUCGAGUCCGGUAGGGGCAGAGGGAAUUCCCGGUGGAGCGGUGAAAUGCGUAGAGAUCGGGAAGAACGCCAAGGGCGAAGGCACUCUGCUAGGCCUGAUUUCGCGACUGACACUCAGGGACGAGAGCCAGGGGAGCGAAUGGGAUUAGAUACCCCAGUAGUCCUGGCCGUAAACGAUGGAUACCAAGCCCUGCGCGUAUCGACCCGGGCAGGGCUGUAGCUAACGCCAUGAAGUAUCCCGCCUGGGGAGUACGUUCGCAAGAGUGAAACUCAAAGGAAUUGGCCGGGAGCCCGCACAAGCGUUGGAGCAUGUGGUUUAAUUCGAUGCAACGCGGAAGAACCUUACCAGGGCUUGACAUGCCGCGAACCCCCCUGAGAGGGGGGGGUGCCUUCGGGAGCGCGGACACAGGUGGUGCAUGGCUGUCGUCAGCUCGUGUCGUAAGAUGUUGGGUUCAGUCCCGCAACGAGCGCAACCCCCGUCUCUAGUUGCCCAAGAUUCGGCACCCUAGAGAGACCGCCGGUGUUAAGCCGGAGGAAGGUGGGGAUGAGGUCAAGUCAACAUGCCCCUCUUGCCCUGGGCGACACACGUGCUACAAUGGCCGGGACAAAGAGAUGCGACCCCGCAAGGGCCAGCGUGACCUCGUAAACCCGGCCUCAGUUCGGAUUGUAGGCUGCAACCCGCCUACAUGAAGGAGGAAUCGCUAGUAAUCACCGGUCAGUCAUACGGUGGUGAAUCCGUUCCCGGG
rnacentral:rRNA from 1 species